rnacentral:lncRNA from 1 species
CAGCGGGUUCGGGUCCUCACAGUCCUUCACGAAGGUGUUGACAGCCAUGAUGGCCAUGUCAGGCUGGCUCUUGGCGUAGUUCAUCAGGUAGAGGUAGACCAGCUUCUUCAGCUCCAGGUUGUCCGUCUGCAUGCAGUUCACCACAUCCGGGAAGAGAGCGCUGACGUCUUUGCCCACAGUCAUGGAGGCGAUCACCUUCUUCACCGCCUCCUUCUUCUUCUCCUUCUUGUCACUGUUCAGCUCUGCCUUCAGCUCAAAGAUCUCCCCCUUCUUGGUGGUGGUGAAGUACUUGGAGUCCGUCAUGGUGCCGCCGCGUUCCCUGCCCGCCGCGCCGCCCGCUGCCCCCGG